rnacentral:rRNA from 1 species
ACUUAGUUCCAUAGCUAUGAAAACCAUUUGAGCGAGAGUAGUACUAGGAUGGGUGACCUCCUGGGAAGUCCUCGUGAAAGGGUUU